GAUGAACGCUAGCGGCAGGCUUAACACAUGCAAGUCGAGGGGUAUAUGGUACUUGUAUCAUAGAGACCGGCAAACGGGUGCGGAACACGUACACAACCUACCUUUAUCUGGGGGAUAGCCCAUAGAAAUGUGGAUUAAUACCCCAUAGUAUUGUUGACUGGCAUCAGUUGAUAAUUAAAGAACUUCGGAUAGAGAUGGGU
rnacentral:rRNA from 1 species